rnacentral:rRNA from 1 species
AGAGUUUGAUCCUGGCUCAGGAUGAACGCUGGCGGCGUGCUUAACACAUGCAAGUCGAACGGUGAAGCCCAGCUUGCUGGGUGGAUCAGUGGCGAACGGGUGAGUAACACGUGAGCAACCUGCCCCUGACUCUGGGAUAAGCGCUGGAAACGGCGUCUAAUACUGGAUACGAGACGUGACCGCAUGGUCAACGUUUGGAAAGAUUUUUCGGUUGGGGAUGGGCUCGCGGCCUAUCAGCUUGUUGGUGAGGUAAUGGCUCACCAAGGCGUCGACGGGUAGCCGGCCUGAGAGGGUGACCGGCCACACUGGGACUGAGACACGGCCCAGACUCCUACGGGAGGCAGCAGUGGGGAAUAUUGCACAAUGGGCGGAAGCCUGAUGCAGCAACGCCGCGUGAGGGAUGACGGCCUUCGGGUUGUAAACCUCUUUUAGCAGGGAAGAAGCGAAAGUGACGGUACCUGCAGAAAAAGCGCCGGCUAACUACGUGCCAGCAGCCGCGGUAAUACGUAGGGCGCAAGCGUUAUCCGGAAUUAUUGGGCGUAAAGAGCUCGUAGGCGGUUUGUCGCGUCUGCUGUGAAAUCUGGGGGCUCAACCCCCAGCCUGCAGUGGGUACGGGCAGACUAGAGUGCGGUAGGGGAGAUUGGAAUUCCUGGUGUAGCGGUGGAAUGCGCAGAUAUCAGGAGGAACACCGAUGGCGAAGGCAGAUCUCUGGGCCGUAACUGACGCUGAGGAGCGAAAGGGUGGGGAGCAAACAGGCUUAGAUACCCUGGUAGUCCACCCCGUAAACGUUGGGAACUAGUUGUGGGGUCCAUUCCACGGAUUCCGUGACGCAGCUAACGCAUUAAGUUCCCCGCCUGGGGAGUACGGCCGCAAGGCUAAAACUCAAAGGAAUUGACGGGGACCCGCACAAGCGGCGGAGCAUGCGGAUUAAUUCGAUGCAACGCGAAGAACCUUACCAAGGCUUGACAUAUACGAGAACGGGCCAGAAAUGGUCAACUCUUUGGACACUCGUAAACAGGUGGUGCAUGGUUGUCGUCAGCUCGUGUCGUGAGAUGUUGAGUUAAGUCCCGCAACGAGCGCAACCCUCGUUCUAUGUUGCCAGCACGUAAUGGUGGGAACUCAUGGGAUACUGCCGGGGUCAACUCGGAGGAAGGUGGGGAUGACGUCAAAUCAUCAUGCCCCUUAUGUCUUGGGCUUCACGCAUGCUACAAUGGCCGGUACAAAGGGCUGCAAUACCGCGAGGUGGAGCGAAUCCCAAAAAGCCGGUCCCAGUUCGGAUUGAGGUCUGCAACUCGACCUCAUGAAGUCGGAGUCGCUAGUAAUCGCAGAUCAGCAACGCUGCGGUGAAUACGUUCCCGGGUCUUGUACACACCGCCCGUCAAGUCAUGAAAGUCGGUAACACCUGAAGCCGGUGGCCUAACCCUUGUGGAGGGAGCCGUCGAAGGUGGGAUCGGUAAUUAGGACUAAGUCGUAACAAGGUAGCCGUA